AUGGGAGUAACCCUGUUGAAAAACACAGCAUAUGCUGUUAGGUAUGUUUUGCUGGUACCAGCAAACCAGCAAAGGACCAGCAUAUACCAGCAAAUGACCAUCAUAAACCAGCAAAGGACCAGCAUAAACCAGCAAAGGACCAGCAUAUACCAGCAAAGGACCAUCAUAAACCAGCAAAGGACCAGUAUAAACCAGCAAAUGAUCAGCAUAAACCAGCAAAGGACGAGCAUUAAACAGCAAAUUAUAAGCAUAAACCAGCAAAUGACCGGCUUAAACCAGCAAAUGACCAGUAUAAACCAGCAAAGGACCAUCAUAAACCAGCAAAUGAUCAGCAUAAACCAGCAAAGGACGAGCAUUAAACAGCAAAGGACCAGCAUAAACCAGCAAAUGAUCAGCAUAAACCAGCAAAGGACCAGCAUAUACCAGCAAAUGACCAUCAUAAACCAGCAAAGGACCAGCAUAAACCAGCAAAGGUCCAGCAUAUACCAGCAAAGGACCAUCAUAAACCAGCAAAGGACCAGCAUUAACCAGCAAAUGAUCAGCAUAAACCAGCAAAGGACCAGCAUAUACCAGCAAAUGACCAUCAUAAACCAGCAAAGGAACAGCAUAUACCAGCAAAUGACCAUCAUAAACCAGCAAAUUACCAGAAUAUACCAGCAAAGGACCAUCAUAAACCAGCAAAGGAACAGCAUAAACCAGCAAAUGAUCAGCAUAAACCAGCAAAGGACCAGCAUAUACCAGCAAAUGACCAUCAUAAACCAGCAAAGGACCAGCAUAUACCAGCAAAUGACCAUCAUAAACCAGCAAAGGACCAGCAUAUACCAGCAAAGGACCAUCAUAAACCAGCAAAUGAUCAGCAUAAACCAGCAAAAGACAAGCAUAAACCAGCAAAGGACCAUCAUAAACCAGCAAAUGAUCAGCAUAAACCAGCAAAGGACCAUCAUAUACCAGCAAAGGACCAUCAUAAACCAGCAUAUAAAGUUUUUUUUCAGCAGAGAACUUCCCUGUGAAAGGUUCGCUCUAUAA
rnacentral:lncRNA from 1 species